GCGGGAGGGAGUUAACGCCGCUAGCUCCAAUCUUUCUGUCGAGUAAACGUGGGGGGUGCAUGCGGGAAGUUUGUAAUACAAUCACAAUCCAACAAAUCCGUAAAUAAUAGAGCUUAGAUGUUCAAUAGUAUCGGUAUUCAUAAUGUUACGAGGGUUUUUUUUUGCUCCCAUCAAACGGGUAGGGGCCUUCUUUGCACUCUCACCGAAUAGAUGGGGGCUUUUUUGCAUCCUAUCAAAGAGAUGGGGAUUUCAUCUGCACUCCCAC
rnacentral:lncRNA from 1 species